rnacentral:lncRNA from 1 species
AUUAUUGUUCUCAUCUCUUUAGAUGCCUCUUAGGGUGCGUUUGGUUCGCACUAUAAAAAAUUACUAGAAAUAAAAAGAUGUCCGAAAAUUUUAUUCAUAUUCAUUCUAUUACUAAAAAUGUGGUAUUACUGUGUUUGGUUCGUACGGUCAUAUUAUUUAGUCAUGUUAUUUAAGAUUACAAAAAAAUAUACAAUUAAUUUAUUUAUUUCUUUAAUUAAUUUUAGAUAAUGCUACAAAAAAAUUUAAUAUUUUUUUAGAAAAAGGGGAGAAAGAACAUAGGUUAGAGAGAGAAAGCAUAAUUAAAGAAAUAGGAAGAGAAAUAGAGUCGAGAUUAGAGGGAGUGAGAGAAUUGAGAUUUUAGGGGAAAAAAGGGGAGAGAGAGUUUAAUUUAGAGAGAGAAAAAGAAUUGGAGUUUAGAGAGAAAAAGAUAAGUUUAAAGAGAGAUAUGAGGUUAGAGUGUAAAAAAAAAUAAUAGUAACUAUCCGGCGGAUAGGAAGAAAGAAAAAGAUUAGAUAUAUUAUGAUUAUCCCAAUCCAUUAAUAUGAAGAUACCACACUCUCUCAAGAGAAUGAGAUUAGUAAUUUGGGAUGAAUCUCAUUCCCAAGUAAAUCUAAUAUUACUAACUAGAUUACUUAGUGCACUUAGCAAAACACCGUCAUAUUUUGUUAUUCCUGUUAGAUUACUAGAAAUCUUAAAAAGAUAAUGCGAAUCAAACGCACCCUUACGGUUAAAAAGGAGAAGGAAAAAAAAAAAAAAAA